AGCUUGCCGAGGUAAGGGCACCUUUAUUUUCCGUCUUAUAAUUGUAAUGAGCUAUGUGUAUGCUUGGUUCUGUGAUUUCUAGGCGUGUUUGGCAUGUUUGUUCUAUGUAUUCUCGAGACGAGAACGUGUUUUAAAUUACAUGCGUUAUUUACAUAUGUUUGAGAUAAUAUGUAAUAACAUGUGAUUGGAUUACAUAUGCUUGAGAGGUAUGUAUUUGUUGCAUUAGCAUAUAUGGGGAAUCGUAUGCUCAUGCAUUUCAUAGUACGUAGUUAUCGGGAAUGGACUACGGGGG
rnacentral:lncRNA from 1 species